AAAUUGAUAAGAAAUUGCUGCUAUUGAGACAUUCGAGAAACAAAGACCGAGAGUCAUCGAGAAGGAAAAAUUAGGAAUUAGGGUUCCUGAAUCUGGUGUUGCUGUGGUGGUUGAGAUCGAUUAGGGUUUGAACAAGAAGGAGAAAUUGGUUUCACUGCCAUUGAAGGAGGAGGUUGCUGUGGCUGAAUUCUAUGGUUGAAUGGUUUGGAUUUUGCAGAAAUUGGGGGUUAUUUAUGUACAAGAACAUUGGGUUUGUGUUGAAUGUGAGUUCUUUGCAGGGAAGGUGAUAUAGUGAGGCUUAGAAUCACUAGCAAAGCUGUGCCUCCAUUAACAGAGUCAGUGCAGAUCAUAUACUCGAGAAAAGGCCUGAAUGAGCUCUUCUUCGCUAUUUCAAGCUCAUCUGAUGCUUGUUGAGUCUCUGCGCAAGUGUUGUUGCUUCAGUGGUAUUUAUGGGUCUUUAUGAUGGGUGUUUCAGGAGCUGAUAUGCUGUAACUUAUGUGGGUUGUUCUGUGCAAGGUUUGGCUGGAGAUUUAUGGCAAGGAAUCAACAAGAAACAGGUAGUAUGAAGCCAUGAGAAAUGGUCGGUCUUAGCUCGAGUGUUUGGCCUGAGAUUGGGUUCAGAUUUGGUGUAGGUUGGUUAAGCUUUUAUGUGGAAGAUCAGGUAAAGAAGCUGGUGUUAUUGUCAUGGUUGGUGGGUCUAUUCGCAGUCAAGGGUUGCAGCUGCAGUUCAAGUGAGAUAAAUGAAGCUACAGAUUGGUAGCGAUGCUGUCUGAGGUGGUACAAUGACAUGGGCAUUGCAGGAUCAGUGAUGACACACUGUAGAUGGUUUGAGUUGAACUGACAAGAGGUGCAAGUGCAACUGCAGUUGGGAGAUGGAAUUGGCAAAGUGGAGUUGAUGGCUUUGCAGUGAACUAACUGCAGGAGAAGAGUUUGGAGAUGUCAUUGCAGGUGGUUGGUGGAUAAGACUGAGAUGGACUGACAGAGGUGGCUAUGAGGCUGUUUGAGGUUAUGCUGUGCUGAUUGAAGGCUGAAGCUGACAGGGGUAUGCUCAAGUUUGAGUUGAGACUUGAAUGAUGUGUGGAUUGCCUUGAGGUGUUGAUUUCAGAGAAUGGAAGUCUACAAAGAAGCCGGAGGAGUGUACUGCUUAGAUGUAUGCUUAGAUUUGGAGCUGAAGUUGAUUUGGUGGUUCUGGUGAUGAACUGAUGCAGCUACAGAUGGUAAUGAAUGGUGAUUGUGUGUGUUGACGGUGAUGCUGUGGAGGCCGGCUAUUCACCCUUCUCUUGCUGCUAGAAACUGGAAAUUGCUCCGGGGAGCUUGUGCUACGCUGGACAAGGUACGAAGUCGUUUUAAACACCAAGUGGUUAACAAAUGUUAUUUAUGUAACAGAGAUGAGGAGUCGUUGGAACACAUACUUUGGUCUUGUGAUUUUGCGAUGAAAGCUUGGAACUGGAUUUCGGAUAUUUUUGAUCUCAUGCCUAACCAAAAUCUGACGACAGCUUAUAAGGAAGCAAAGGGGAAGAGUCGUAUGUUUAAGGACUUAUGGCUGUUAUCUAUUCUCGUGGUCCGUUCGGAACUUUGGAUGACCAGGAAUGGUUGUGUUUAUGACAACCAAAGGGUUAAUUGGCACUUUUUUUUACAAGAAAGUGUUCAACCAGAUUCAUGAUUAUUCGCGGCGUUUAAAGGGUUGUAUGUAUAAGUGUAUAACAACAAAGAAGAGUUACGGGUCGUUGUUUACUUCAGAGUGCAGCAUAGAAGAGUGAAGUUUUCUGUUCCAAAGGAGUGUAUUUGUGUGGCUCCGGAAGAAAAUGAGUUAAUGUUGUGUUGUGAUGGUGCGGCGAGGGGCAACCCGGGAAGAGCUGGGGCAGGUGUUGUAGUUCGUGAUUCAGCUGCUACUGUUUUAGGAGCCAUGAGCAUUGGUUUUGGGAUACAAACUAACUAUUUGUCGGAACUUUUUUGUGUUAUUAUUGCUUUGGAGUGGGCUGUAAAGUUUGAUGUGCACAACAUUUGCAUUCGAACUGAUUCUAUGGGGGCGGUUGUGGAUUUUUCUGGUGAUAUUUUGGGAGUUGGUUUAUUCGACCAAGAUGGGUGGCGGUAAGAGCUAGAUACGAUAGAAUUCGUUUUGUGCAUACUUAUAGGGAAGCAAAUUGUGCAGCUGAUGCGAUGGCCAAAAGAGGCUGCAGUUUGGAAGAUGGGGUUGGAAUAAGCAUGAAUGGAAGGUAGUAGUAGUACGGGUGGAUGUGUUCGAAAUGAGGUUAGCUGCUACUUGCAAAGGCUGCAGUUCUGGUGGUGUGCAAUGGUGGUAUUUGAACUGAACUUGUUGCUGCUGUUGAUCUCAGGAAGGAGAUAUGUAUGAGCUGUGAAGUUAUGGCUCAAGUUUCAGUGCUGGGAUUGAACAGAUUAUAUGGCCUGAGCAUGAACUGGUUAUGGAACUGUAAUGCACUAUGAUGGAACAACACAAGUUCAGGCCUGUGUAAGAUGGCUUUGGCGUAGCAGUCAGACUCUGACUCACCUAGUUAGCUUCUGACUCGUUUCUGAAUCACUCAGUCUGAUUCAGUUAACGCCGUUAGUGACAGUUAAAAUUGACCGUUGUAUUUAAUGGUCUGACGUUAUGUUUGAUCGAUGACCGGGUGGACUUUGCCGGUCACCUGAGCUGCUUCCCGUGGACUUUUCUGACCAAGGUACGGUCACUUUCUGGGACCUCCGGCGACUACUUUGUGAGCAUGUUUCGUACAUGGGUUUUCUCACAUUUGGGCUUGGUGGAUUUCUAUCUAUUGGACCUUUGAAGACUAAACCUAAUUUUGGAACAAGAGGAGCAUAAAGGAGAAGUCUUUCUACAAUUUUAUUACGUAUUCUACUUGGAGUUUUGGAAAGAACCGGAUAUCUUAGGGUUUGCUUUGGUUUUGUUUCAUCUUCUUUAUUUUAUUUCUAUAAUAUUAUGAACUCCAUUAUUAUGAGUAGCUAAAAAAAUCUUUGAGUAGGGGCGAUUUGAAAGCCCGAAAUAUGAACUCAUGAUUGAUAUGAAAUAGCUCGUUUCCUUGCAA